rnacentral:misc_RNA from 1 species
UCCGAGUUGACCCCGGCAGUCUCCCAUGAGUCCCCGGCAUUACCCGCUGGCAACAUGGGACGAGGGUUGCGCUCGUUGCGGGACUUAACCCAACAUCUCACGACACGAGCUGACGACAACCAUGGACCACCUGUACGCAGCCCUUGCGGACCCGACAUCUCUGCCGGAUUUCUGCGUAUGUCAAGCCUUGGUAAGGUGGGGAUGACGUGAGGAUAG